rnacentral:tRNA from 1 species
UCUAAAGUGGCAGAAUAGUGCCCCGGAGUUAAGUUCCGUUCAUGAAGUUAAUAUUUCUUUUAGAA